GGGACAAUGGUGUAGCGGUAUCAUACUUGCUUUGGGUGCAAGUGGUCCUGGGUUCAAAUCCCAGUUGUCCCC
rnacentral:tRNA from 2 species